UAAGGAAUAUUGGUCAAUGGACGCAAGUCUGAACCAGCCAUGCCGCGUGAAGGAUGAAGGUCCUCUGGAUUGUAAACUUCUUUUAUCUGGGACGAAAACGGGAUUUUUAUCUCAAUUGACGGUACCAGAGGAAUAAGCACCGGCUAACUCCGUGCCAGCAGCCGCGGUAAUACGGAGGGUGCGAGCGUUAUCCGGAUUUACUGGGUUUAAAGGGUGCGUAGGUGGGCUUAUAAGUCAGUGGUGAAAUCUCCGAGCUUAACUUGGAAACUGCCGUUGAUACUAUAGGUCUUGAAUUAUCUGGAGGUAAGCGGAAUAUGUCAUGUAGCGGUGAAAUGCUCAGAUAUGACAUAGAACACCAAUUGCGAAGGCAGCUUACUACAUAUAAAUUGACGCUGAGGCACGAAAGCGUGGGGAUCAAACA
rnacentral:rRNA from 1 species